rnacentral:lncRNA from 1 species
AUGAUGGUCGAAUCAGAUGUUCGUGGCUACCUUUAUGAGCCGCAAUAUAGCGAAGAGCAGCUGAGGCUGAACAGGAGGCGGCUGAGGCUUCUGCAGCCGAGGCAGAGGACCUGCCUGUCGCGGACGAGGAGCCCGGACUGGCUCGAGCUGGGGCGGACUGCUGGUGCCUGUGCUCUCGCUGUGCGCCUACGGACACACGGACGUCUGACUGUAAAACAAUAUCGCCUAACAGCCUUUCUGGAAUGGGUCCUGCAAGGCGAGAGAUUGGGUCGAGGCCAUCGUGUCAUUUUACCCGCUGAUGUGGUGCAGGCUAUCCGACAGUAUCCAGCUCCAGAUGGCCAGUACUGCGGGCACCAAGAAGUUGAGGACGCUCAGGAGGAACUAUAACUGUCAUUGUUAACAUAUUUAUUUUUGUUGUUGUUGAUAUAUUUCUGUAAAUAAAUGGUUUACAUUCACGUUGUUGUAGUCCUUGAUAGUGUUGGUGGGAGCGGCUUGCGGAGCUGUGCAUUGUGGGAGUUGUUGUCUUUUAUACAAAUGCGCCCUAAAGUCACUUUCUGUCUUUUCUCAAAUAGGCACCAAAUUCAAAUUACAUUUCGACUACAUAUAUAACCCACUUUCAAUAAAUAUUAAUGUUCCCACGGGUGAAAUGCUCCUUUAAUAUGAAAGGUAAUUAAUCACUGGUGAUUAAUAAUACACUCGUAAAUGGGGCACCACCUCCGUUGUUUAGUUACUGGAAUAAUCUGGAGGAAGUUAUUCUACAAACCUAAUCAAAUCAGUUUCAAAUCAAUUUUUUCAAUCCAAAAUCUAUGUUCAAUCUCAUAUUCUAAAGUAGUGAUUUUUUUUACACGAUUCAUCGAUUUUCCACAUCAAACAAACCCGCACAGACAAGGACAAGGACAGUUAUAUAUGUUUAUUAACUAAAUUAAUGUAGAGUAAAUAGCAUGAAAUGAUAAUGUAGACACAAAUGACAACAAACAACAGAAUAUGUGGACAGUAAAUGAAUUAUUGAUAUUGGGUGAUUCAGGAGCAAUGGUGGAUUUUGCGAUACGGCAGUAAAUUAAAAAUAUUAUGGAAGUCAAUUUUUAAACUUCGAGGCCCUAAUCGAAAACUCUUCUAAGCUCAAACUAUGGGGAUCAAAGCUCACAGACAGACAGCAACUCUUGGGAAGUGUGUGGAACCCCGGCAGUGUAUGUGGGUUUCAGCCUACUUUUUGUAGAGAUGGAGGGACUUCAGGAUCUUUCUCCUCCGGCUGGUACUGCUCGGCUGCUGUUCAGGUCCAAGAACGUGUUGUCACCGAUACCAAAGCGCUCCAGUCCAAGGCCCAGCGCGGCUUUGCGCUUUGAGUGCGUUGGAGGCAGAUAGUCUGGAGAAUAAUGUCUUUGUCUGGCUGAAACGUUUAUACCUCUCCUUGAGCGGUCAACCACUGCGAUGUCCUUCUGGCUUAUGAUAAAUGUCUUAAGAGAAGUUCCUCAGAGUGGUUGGUCUUCGGCUUUGAUUAUGAACUAAUCCAACUUCUUGUCUAAAAUAACUGUAGGACGAAACGCUGGCCUUGGAAAUCCUCUGUAGUCAAUAAAUCCAAGAGUUAAAUUAAGUUCACUUUCUGUGAAUAAGGCGACAAUACUUGACAAUAUAUAUAAACAAAUAAAACGUAUUAAAGAAUUAACUUUGUUCGUGUCUUGAGCCUUCAAAAAAAAAGUACUAAAAAGUACUUCAGCGCCGCAAAUUAUUACGUGAGGGAAAAUUAAAAGUAGAACAUGAGUAAAUAACGAAUGGAUCCAAAGCAAAUUUAAGAAUAGAGUUUUGGAAGUGUAAAAGUAAGAAGAGUAAAAGUAAGAAGAGAGGGAGUGACCGGAGUCUAUAUUAUAUAUAUGUUUUAGUCUGGAGGCGUAUCCGGAAAGGCUAAUGCAAUGCCAUGUCUGAAUUUAACAGAGUCCUAUAACAACUUUAGUCCCUCUGAAAUUGAUAAUCUUGUCGAUAGUGCUACAGGCUCACUACGAUCAACAUUAGACUCUAUCGCUCCUAUAAAAAGGAAAUUAUUAAAACAUAGGAGACUAGCACCUUGGUAUAACCACCAAACCCGCCAGUUAAAGAAAUAGCUAGGAAAUCUGAAGGAAAUGGCGCUCUUCCAAAUUAUCAGAAUAUCGCUCAAAUUGGCAAGAUGAUCUUAAGAUUUAUAGAAAGGCCCUCCGUAAUGCCAGAGGAGCCUAUUACUCAGCACUAAUAGAAGAAAAUAAGAACAACCCUAGGUUCUCUUCAGCACUGUAGCCGGCUGACGAGAGUCACAGCUCUAUCGAGCCACAUAUCCCCAUAAACUUAGUGCAAUGACUUCAUGAGCUUCUUUUAUAAUAAAAUUAUUACUAUUAGAGAAAAAUUAAUCACCAACUGCCAUAACGGUUAUCAGUGG